AGAUUAAAAAUUAAGGUUUAUAUCUGCUAUUACGGGGGCACUGGGAUAAGUAACAUACAGCUUAAACACGAAUCUUGAGAAAUGAGGCUUCUCAAAUCCAAAAAGGGGAGAAUUGAU